AGACGGGGGUCUGCUUCCUGGCUUUCUGAGAGUUACCUGAGUGACAGUUCAUUUUUCUGAACCAAGAAUGAUUCCUGGAGUCCAAGUUGAAAAGCAAAGGAUACAGAGAGAGCAAAGAGAAAUUCAAACGGGGGGAUGAGAGAGCAUGAGACAGAGGCGUGCAAGCAUCGGUGUGGGUGUGUGGUGCACAGGAAGGGACACACAGAGAUGUCAGGCCUGUGUGGGGAGGGGGGACUGUGCUGGUCAGAUGUCAUAGCCCAUCGUUUUAGGGCAUCUUUAAGUAAGAGGAUAAACCAGCUCCCCACCAGCUGCUUUUGGGCUUCAGGGCUGGUCCCCCGCACCCCCGCCACACCCUGGGCCAUCCCGAUGCCAGCCACCCAGGGGCAUGGGACCUGCUGUGAGGGUGGGAACGCUGACACCCUCAGCUCCAACGAAAGCUGACUAGGUUUUGUAACUGACAUUAGCAGCAUAAAGGGAUUAUUGGAAAAGAAUUUUACUCACCAUCCAUAAAAUCAGAGCUUUACCUACUCACAGCUAAUAAUUGAAAUCUUACACUACCCUCCCUACCAAUAAAUUUACUCAGACUAAUCUUGUUGAAUUAUUAAUUUCUCCCCAUAUGAGAAAUUGGCAAUAGUCUCCUAACCAGAGGUGACCGGUUCUGCAUUUCACUUUCUCUGUCUCGUCCUGAUGGGGCUGCUCCUUCUGCCCGUCCGUCGUCCUACGACGCAGCCCAGGCCCCCUCUCCUGCCCAGAGACCUCAGCUCCUGCAGCGCAAGGUGUUUGCUGUCACGCGCACGGAGACCCCGCAGCCGCUGAUUUGACUCCUAUCUGGCAUCAUUUCCCUUCACCUGAAGAACUUCUUUUAGUAUUUCUUAUAAUGCAGGUGUGCUGGACACAAACUCUAUCAUCUUAUCAAACCAGUGAGAAGUUGAGAAAGGCUACUUCCAUACGGCACUUUCACCUGUAAACCCCUUACUUAGAACUUCAUGCUGCCUAAGGGCUUCAAACUGAAGAUAUGUUCAGAUAAAAGCAAUUUCAAGCUUCUCUUUUCUAUUGACUUUGUGAUUCCAAAGAAUGAAAUUGGGAUUAACUAGAAGAAAAAAAACCCCUGAAGCAAUGAGGGUUCGAACACUAUCCAAGAUUAUUAAAUAAAUAAGGAAUUUCCUGGGAUUCACAGAAUUGCAGGGAAAGUCUGUAAAAAAAAGUCCUCAGUCACUGUCAGACAGCACACCUUUCCCAAGCCCAAAUCCUGUGUCAAGGAGGCUUUUAGGACUUUGUUCUGAAUUCCCCUACCUGUCUCAAGCCUUUCCAUCUCAUUCAGAAAUGAACUCUUAAAAUCUAGCAGGACACUAAAAGCGUCACUCAUCUAGCAGGACACUAAAAGUGUCACUCAUCUAGCAGGACACUAAAAGCGUCACUCAUCUAGCAGGACACUGAAAGCGUCACUCAUCUAGCAGGACACUGAAAGCGUCACUCAUCUAGCAGGACACUGAAAGUGUCACUCAUCUAGCAGGACACUGAAAGUGUCACUCAUCUAGCAGGACACUAAAAGCGUCACUCAUCUAGCAGGACACUAAAAGCGUCACUCAUCUAGCAGGACACUGAAAGUGUCACUCAUCUAGCAGGACACUGAAAGUGUCACUCAUCUAGCAGGACACUAAAAGCGUCACUCAUCUAGCAGGACACUAAAAGCGUCACUCAUCUAGCAGGACACUGAAAGCGUCACUCAUCUAGCAGGACACUAAAAGCGUCACCCAUCUAGCAGGACACUGAAAGUGUCACUCAUCUAGCAGGACACUAAAAGCGUCACUCAUCUAGCAGGACACUAAAAGCGUCACUCAUCUAGCAGGACACUGAAAGCGUCACUCAUCUAGCAGGACACUGAAAGUGUCACUCAUCUAGCAGGACACUGAAAGUGUCACUCAUCUAGCAGGACACUAAAAGCGUCACUCAUCUAGCAGGACACUAAAAGCGUCACUCAUCUAGCAGGACACUGAAAGUGUCACUCAUCUAGCAGGACACUGAAAGUGUCACUCAUCUAGCAGGACACUAAAAGCGUCACUCAUCUAGCAGGACACUAAAAGCGUCACCCAUCUAGCAGGACACUGAAAGCGUCACUCAUCUAGCAGGACACUAAAAGCGUCACCCAUCUCACACCAGAACCAUCCGCUUCUAACAACUGGCUCUCGAGACGCCGUCCCUUCCCCAUCCGCCUGUUAGACUGAGUGAAUUCUGCAUUCACACUCUCCUGACCCUGUAGCUGCACCUGCUUUGAGAAUGACAGCGAUCCCCAUUCACCUGCCAUCUCCCUUGCUUCUUCAAGUACCUCUAUCAACCCACAGCCUGUUUCCCCUGAUAUCGUUUCUUCUUGAUCUAAAGCUAUUUCUUGUGCUGACUCUGGCCAAAGACAUUUGAGCUGUCCCCUGUUCCUUUGCCUUUGGAAUGUGACGCCUACAUUUAGAUACCACUCAUUUUAAAAACUAUCUGAAAAGUUGUGAGACAUUCUUGCUUCACGCUGCUCAUUCAUCAAGUCAGAAAGUCAGAGACUAAGGAAUAACAAGCCAAGCACGAACCAAGGAAACUAAGCUUUACUUUAAGAAGCCCUAGAAACAGCACUGGUUAACCUCUUGCUCCUGGAACUCAGAGCACACUGCCUGGUGGUCUCCAGACAAGCAGCUUCCACGUCACCGGGGAGCUUACUCAGAACAGAGAAUCGACAGAACUCUCAUGAGCUGCCUUUGAACGAGAUCUGCCAGGGAUUGCAUGCAUGUUAGUCUGAGAAGUACUAGUUUCUAGAACAGAGCUUCCCAAAAGGUGAGCCAGGACACACUAGUGGGGGACGUACUCUGCAAGUUCUCCUUGGCCCUCAGGGCAGCCAGGAGGGGCUGUGGGGCUGGAGCCCCUCCUGGUUGCCUCUCCAGAGAGCCGCCCAUCCACUGACCUCAGUGUCGCUGGCAGGAGACGGUCAGAGCACCUGCAGAGGGGGCCGUGCUCUGAACUAAGUGCCCUCCAUACAAAGAUUUUCUUAGGUGUUUAAAAAGAUGUUUGUUGCCCAGAAUAGACACAGUAGGGCCAAAUUUGUCCCACAAACUAGUGAGCUGCCUCUAUUAAAGCAUCUCUGUAUCUUCA